rnacentral:rRNA from 1 species
AGUGAACGCUGGCGGUAGGCCUAACACAUGCAAGUCGAACGGCAGCACAGUAAGAGCUUGCUCUUACGGGUGGCGAGUGGCGGACGGGUGAGGAGUACAUCGGAAUCUACUUUUUCGUGGGGGAUAACGUAGGGAAACUUACGCUAAUACCGCAUACGACCUACGGGUGAAAGCAGGGGAUCUUCGGACCUUGCGCGAUUGAAUGAGCCGAUGUCGGAUUAGCUAGUUGGCGGGGUAAAGGCCCACCAAGGCGACGAUCCGUAGCUGGUCUGAGAGGAUGAUCAGCCACACUGGAACUGAGACACGGUCCAGACUCCUACGGGAGGCAGCAGUGGGGAAUAUUGGACAAUGGGCGCAAGCCUGAUCCAGCCAUACUGCGUGGGUGAAGAAGGCCUUCGGGUUGUAAAGCCCUUUUGUUGGGAAAGAAAAGCAGCAGGUUAAUACCCCGCUGUUCUGACGGUACCCAAAGAAUAAGCACCGGCUAACUUCGUG